rnacentral:rRNA from 1 species
GACGAACCGUGCGAACGUUAUUCGGAAUCACUGGGCUUAAAGCGCGUGUAGGCGGGCCGUCCCGUCGGACGCUGAAAUCCCCCGGCUCGACCGGGGAACCGGCGCCGAUACGAGCGGCCUGGAGGGGAGUAGGGGGGCCUGGAACUUCCGGUGGAGCGGUGAAAUGCGUUGAGAUCGGAAGGAACGCCCGUGGCGAAAGCGAGGCCCCGGACUCC